GACGAACGCUGGCGGCGUGCCUAAUACAUGCAAGUAGAACGCUGAAGGAGGAGCUUGCUUCUCUGGAUGAGUUGCGAACGGGUGAGUAACGCGUAGGUAACCUGCCUGGUAGCGGGGGAUAACUAUUGGAAACGAUAGCUAAUACCGCAUAAUAGCAGUUGUUGCAUGAUAACUGUUUGAAAGGUGCAAUUGCACCACUACCAGAUGGACCUGCGUUGUAUUAGCUAGUUGGUGGGGUAACGGCUCACCAAGGCGACGAUACAUAGCCGACCUGAGAGGGUGAUCGGCCACACUGGGACUGAGACACGGCCCAGACUCCUACGGGAGGCAGCAGUAGGGAAUCUUCGGCAAUGGACGGAAGUCUGACCGAGCAACGCCGCGUGAGUGAAGAAGGUUUUCGGAUCGUAAAGCUCUGUUGCAAGAGAAGAACGAGUGUGAGAGUGGAAAGUUCACACUGUGACGGUAUCUUACCAGAAAGGGACGGCUAACUACGUG
rnacentral:rRNA from 1 species